rnacentral:rRNA from 1 species
AACGAACGUUGGCGGCGUGGAUGAGGCAUGCAAGUCGAACGCGAAAGCCGCAAGGCGAGUAAAGUGGCGGACGGGCGAGUAACACGUAAUCAAGCUACCUGUGAGACGGGGAUAACUUCGGGAAACCGAAGCUAAGACCCGAUGGCCUUAGGAGACCGCAUGGUUUCCUAAGUAAAUGGGCGGGACCUUUCGGGGUCGCCUGCUCGCAGAGGUGAUUGCGGCCCAUCAGCUAGUUGGUAGGGUAAUGGCCUACCAAGGCAACGACGGGUAGCCGGCCUUAGAGGGUGGUCGGCCGCACUGGGACUGAGACACUGCCCAGACUCCUACGGGAGGCAGCAGUGGGGAAUUUUGGACAAUGGGCGCAAGCCUGAUCCAGCCAUGCCGCGUGAGUGAAG